rnacentral:ribozyme from 1 species
UUCUUUUCUUUUCUUUUUCUUCUUUUUUUCUUUUUUUAAAAAAAUAACAACAACAAGAGCAGCGCGGCAAUAAUUGUAAAAAAAA